rnacentral:misc_RNA from 1 species
AUCAGAGCCUUAAGUCAGAGAC